GAAAAUAAAACUGCACUGGAGAGGUUUUGUUUUCUUUAAACUUCCUAGAAAUAUUGCCUCUAGCAUCUGAAGUACAAGCUACCCCAGAAAAUGCUUGUAAGAAAACAGAGUUACAAGAACAAGAAUGUAUCACGGUAGCUGGAUACAGAUUGGGAAAAAUAUAUCAGCAGCAGAUACUACAAAAAUAUUCUGAAUUUGUGACAAAUUGUCCUCAUGAUCCUCAGGUGUGGUGAUAGCAGAUGUACUCCGCAACUUGCUAGCCCAUGUUUCAAGACGCGUGAAUUAUACACAUUGCUUCCUUUUCAGGAUCUGCAAAGUCAAAAAAAAAAUUAUUAGUUUUAUCGGUUUGACACAUCAUGCAACGCACAUUCCACAAGUAUAUCUGUAUCACACAACAUCAUAUGUAAACUACCUUGUAAAGGAAAGUAAACAAAAUUCUAAGAUUGAUUUUAUUUGUUCACUAGCCGCGAUACACAUGAAUAUGUAUUCAACUAAUAAGGUGAAAACUAAAAAAAGGAAACAAAAUCGGCUGCAACAAAACCCGUGUUCAUUUAAGUACCUCUUGAAGAUUUUGGAGCAGCCUUUCUUCCAAAUCUAUAGAUCCAGUUCCGAAAACGUUGUACCUUCUCGGUUCAGGUGUUUGAGUUGACUCUGUUGGCAACACGCCCG
rnacentral:lncRNA from 1 species